AGAGUUUGAUCCUGGCUCAGAACGAACGCUGGCGGCAGGCCUAACACAUGCAAGUCGAGCGCUCUCUUCGGAGGGAGCGGCGGACGGGUGAGUAACGCGUGGGAACGUGCCCUUCUCUAUGGAAUAGCCACUGGAAACGGUGAGUAAUACCAUAUACGCCCUUCGGGGGAAAGAUUUAUCGGAGAAGGAUCGGCCCGCGUUAGAUUAGGUAGUUGGUGGGGUAAUGGCCUACCAAGCCUACGAUCUAUAGCUGGUUUUAGAGGAUGAUCAGCCACACUGGGACUGAGACACGGCCCAGACUCCUACGGGAGGCAGCAGUGGGGAAUCUUAGACAAUGGGCGCAAGCCUGAUCUAGCCAUGCCGCGUGAGUGAUGAAGGCCUUAGGGUCGUAAAGCUCUUUCGCCAGAGAUGAUAAUGACAGUAUCUGGUAAAGAAACCCCGGCUAACUCCGUGCCAGCAGCCGCGGUAAUACGGAGGGGGUUAGCGUUGUUCGGAAUUACUGGGCGUAAAGCGCACGUAGGCGGAUUAGAAAGUUAGGGGUGAAAUCCCGGGGCUCAACCUCGGAACUGCCUCUAAAACUCCUAGUCUAGAGUUCGAGAGAGGUGAGUGGAAUUCCAAGUGUAGAGGUGAAAUUCGUAGAUAUUUGGAGGAACACCAGUGGCGAAGGCGGCUCACUGGCUCGAUACUGACGCUGAGGUGCGAAAGUGUGGGGAGCAAACAGGAUUAGAUACCCUGGUAGUCCACACCGUAAACGAUGAAUGCCAGUCGUCGGGUAGUAUACUGCUCGGUGACACACCUAACGGAUUAAGCAUUCCGCCUGGGGAGUACGGUCGCAAGAUUAAAACUCAAAGGAAUUGACGG
rnacentral:rRNA from 1 species